rnacentral:rRNA from 1 species
AUUGAACGCUGGCGGCAGACCUAACACAUGCAAGUCGAGCGGAUGAAGGGAGCUUGCUCCUGGAUUCAGCGGCGGACGGGUGAGUAAUGCCUAGGAAUCUGCCUGGUAGUGGGGGAUAACGUCCGGAAACGGGCGCUAAUACCGCAUACGUCCUGAGGGAGAAAGUGGGGGAUCUUCGGACCUCACGCUAUCAGAUGAGCCUAGGUCGGAUUAGCUAGUUGGUGGGGUAAAGGCCUACCAAGGCGACGAUCCGUAACUGGUCUGAGAGGAUGAUCAGUCGCACUGGAACUGAGACACGGUCCAGACUCCUACGGGAGGCAGCAGUGGGGAAUAUUGGACAAUGGGCGAAAGCCUGAUCCAGCCAUGCCGCGUGUGUGAAGAAGGUCUUCGGAUUGUAAAGCACUUUAAGUUGGGAGGAAGGGCAGUAAGUUAAUACCUUGCUGUUUUGACGUUACCAACAGAAUAAGCACCGGCUAACUUCGUG